rnacentral:rRNA from 1 species
CCUACGGGCGGCUGCAGUGAGGAAUAUUGGUCAAUGGACGAGAGUCUGAACCAGCCAAGUAGCGUGAAGGAUGACUGCCCUAUGGGUUGUAAACUUCUUUUAUAUGGGACUAAAAUGUUCCACGUGUGGGAUUUUGUCUGUACCAUAUGAAUAAGGAUCGGCUAACUCCGGUCCAGCAGCAGCGAUAAUACGGAGGAUCCGAGCGUUAUCCGGAUUUAUUGGGUUUAAAGGGAGCGUAGGUGGAUUGUUAAGUCAGUUGUGAAAGUUUGCGGCUCAACCGUAAAAUUGCAGUUGAAACUGGCAGUCUUGAGUACAGUAGAGGUGGGCGGAAUUCGUGGUGUAGCGGUGAAAUGCUUAGAUAUCACGAAGAACUCCGAUUGCGAAGGCAGUUCACUGGACUGCAGCUGACACUGAGGCUCGAAAGUGUGGGUAUCAAACAGGAUUAGAUACCCCUGUAGUC